AUGUCCCAUUGUACCUUUGCCUUCAAGGUGAUCCUGCAAUUGGAGACGGUGUGACUCGUCAUGUUUUUGCAACAAUCAUGUCAAAACUCCAGCAUGGUUUUGAACUACAACUUGGUUAGUGACCUAUACAAUACAUGUUAUUUUUUCCCCGUUUUCUUAGGAUAACUUUAAAAGAAGUUUACAGAAAUUUGUUGGCAUUAACAGUUAACUACUUACCAUUGGCCUUAGGGUUGAUAUUUUAAAAGGUUUCUGCAUUUGUCUUUUGUAAUGCAUGUGUAGCGAAUCAGCUCAUGGGGAAAUAUGAAUAAUUAAUAAUAACUAGGAACUCUUCUUUUUGAGGGUGAAAAGGAUCACUUGAUUCCCUCAACAUCACAGAGUUUUCUGGAUAGUGACUUCUUUGUGGUGGCAGGCCGUAUGAUCGGGCACUCAUUCCUGCAUGGUGGUCCAUGCUUAACUGGUUUAAGCCCAGCAAUAAUCCACAUGCUUUUUGGCGGAUCCCCUGAAACAGCCACCAUAGAUAUACUGGACUGUGUGGACACUGAUGUCCGUCAAGUAAUAGAGAUGUUGAAAGGCACAGGUGAAUUAUCAGAGGAGGAAAAGAGGGCUAUUUCAGACCGCUUGUUUCGAUCAUCAGAAGGCAAAUUCAUAGAUAC
rnacentral:lncRNA from 1 species